UUUGGGAGAAAAAAAAAAAAAACAACAAAAGGAAAACUAAUGCUAAAAUGUAGAUUUACUUAAAAGUUACCAAAGACAGUAGCACACCGAUCAUAGAUUUUUCAACAGUAUAUGUAAAGAACCCUAACAAAGAUUUUAUUGAAAGAACACUGUGGUAUACAUCUCCAUUAUAUGGCACAAGCUAGAAACUGUCUCUGGUUGGAAUAGUUUAUAUCUGUAAAAGAUCAAGCAAUGUACCUUUAUUCUAGGAAGCCUGGGAAGGUUAAAUGCUAUAUUUACAUGCUUAUUUAAUUCUUAGAAGAUCAACUAAGCUGUUAACUUAUGUCAAAGCUAAUAGUCAAUUAAGAAGUAAACAGAGGCAUUAAGCCAGAAAAAUUUGGUCCUACCAAUCUAAAUCAGUUAGUUACAAAACAUUUUAGGUUUGUCAUUUAGGCACAGCCUAAGUCAUUUUUACUUUUCAUAAUCUUGCUGUCUUCAGCUCGCUGUGGCUCAUUUUAGAAGUAAGCAAAGACUUUAUAUUUUAUAAUUACUCACAUACUACUUCAAUAGACAGUAGAAACAUUAAAUCACUUCUAUACACAUGAAAAAAUUCUGAGUUAAAAAGAAAAUAAGAAUCUUACUACAUUUUAACAGGGUAAAGGUAAAGGGAUCUCUAUAGCAGCGUUUCACAACUGCAGUCAUGAAACUUUCAUGACAUUUCAUGAAUAAACACACAAAUAAACACACAAACCCUGAAUUAUCCUAUACUAUACUUUCUUCUAAAGUAAAAAAUAAUACAUAUGAAAAAAAAUCUAACAUACAUAUAUAUUAUACAAUAAUCAGCUUUUAAGAAAUGAUGUGCCCAGUCAUGAAUGCUAGAAGUCAGAAAAGAGAUCAGGAGGCUCUAAUGUAAUCUGCCUGUGUAUCACUGUAUAUUUAAUGUUUGCCAACUAGCCAACAUUUUAUCAUAGAUUGGUUAGCUAAUUAUGAUGAAAGUGUUGUGUAUUCUGUAAUAUCAAUUUAUAAUAUUAGUUUAUAAACAGUUAAUAAAAAUUUGGUAAUUUUGAAACUAUUUUUCUCCUAUACCUCAAGGAUACAUUUUAAAUGUAUCAUCAACUCCCUGUAUCUCAUCUUC
rnacentral:lncRNA from 1 species